UUACAUAGUAACAAACAAACAAAACGCAAAACAAAAAGAGAAUGUGUGCCAAUGGACUAAUGUGCAAAAAAGUUACAUAUUUUACUUUUUUAUUUUUUUUUUUAUAAUAUGUGCAUUGACUGUCCAAGGCCGGCCAGGACUAUGCAGUGAGAUCCAGGCCAGCUUCUGCUACUGUGAGACUCUGUCUCAAGAAACAGGAUGCAGGAAUUCUGAAUAAGACGGCAGAGGAGAAGCCUCACCACUUAAACUCUGGAAGAGAAAACAGCAAAGGGAGUGGCUAAAAAGCUCCUACCUGGCAAAAUACAAGAUUAAUUAAGUUCGCCCCCACCUUGGCCAGAGAAGAUUUCUUUCUGCUGUGGGCAGCAGUUAGAGAAGAAGGCGAAGAGUAAGUGUUUGUGAAUGUCUAAUCCAUCUACGCUCGCUCCUCCCUCCGAGGUGUACGAGGAGGCGGGGCGAACCGAACAUCCCGGAAGAAGGGGUGAGAAAAAUGUAAGAGCUGCAGGCCUGGGAGGGAGCUGUCCACGGGAUGUGACAGGUCGUCUGCUGCACUCCGGGACCCUCAGCAACUGUGGUUUCCUGCACAAGCUCAAGCCAGUCAGAACUUCCACCGUGAAAAGAAGAGGGGCUGCUGGCAGCUGAUGGCUCUGAGGAAGAGAAAGUCCGGCUUUUUCCUGAGUGUGGCCUCUUGAAGAUUGCCCUGGAUCCAGACGGCGCCAAACCCUUUCCUACAGGAGCAGUUCCGACUGGACUUAGUGGGUUGCUCUUAAAAGAAAAGAAAAUGAAGUGGGAAGGAUAGAGGAAGGAUCUGGGAUAAAUUGGUAUGAUCGAAAGAAGGAAAUUCUCAAAGAAUGGGUAAAAAAAAAAUUUUUUUUUUUGGAAAGGGAAGGGAAGCCUAGCAUCAUGGUGGAGUCUGCCUGUGAUCAGGGGGAUGGACAGAUGGCACUGGGACUAAGCACCGUCUGCUCUUCCAGAGGACUUGGAUUUGAUUUUCAGCACCCACAUGGCCACUCGCCUCUGUCCGUAACUCAGGAAAUUAGACACCCUCUCUGGACCCUGUGGGCUCUGUACGAACACGGUGCGCAGGCAUACAUGCGGGUGAAUUAUCUAAGGCAUAGCAAUAAAUUAUAAAAAGUAACACAACAAUAAAUAAUAAUCUGUUUCACCUGGUGCAAGCCUUUAGCCCCAGCACUCAGGAAGCAGACACAGAUGGCUCUCUGUGAGUUCAAGGCCAGCCUGGUGUACAGUACUAGUUCCAGGACAGCUGAGGCAACACAGAGAAACCCUAUCUGGGGAUGGGGAGAGGAACAGAUGGUGGAAAGAUGGAUCAGUGGUUAGGGCACACGCCUUUAAUCCCAGCACUCAGGAGGCAGAGGCAGGCGGAUCUCUGUGAGUUCAAAGCCAGCCUGGUCUACAGAGUGAGUUCCAGGACAGCCAAGGCUACAACAGAAAAACCUUGUCUUGAAAAACAAACAACAACAAACAAAACAAAAACUCUCUCUUGGACAGUAUCUUAUGCAGACCAGGAUGACAACUUGAUGUGUAGCUGAAUCUGGCCUGAACUUCUGACCCUCCUAUCUCCACCUCUCCAGUCAGUGUGUCUGUCUUCUGUGUUCCUUUUUGGAGGAGAUGAUGUCAUGCUAGCCUGUAGGCAUGGGCUGCUAUUUCCUGGGGAGAAGCACCCUCCAGGCCCACUUACCCCACCCAACCGGGGCCUCUAGCUCCCCGUCAAGGGCCGAGCUCACAGGUCCCACGUCUUCAAUUACAAAACUUCUUUCCAAUACCAGGAUGAGAUGCCUGCAUGAUUAAAUCUCUCCCCUCCCUUCCAGAAACUCCGCUCCAACCACCUACUGCCUAUUGGAGACUGCCAGAGGCAGAGUCAGCAGCUCUGACAGCAAACAGCUUUUCCCCUUUGGCACCCUGGACUCCUCUAAUUCCUGUGCUGGCCUAAAUGAGCUUAGAGGGCUUGGCAGCUGCUCCAGAUGGGCUCCAGUCCCAUCCCCGAGGCCCGGAAGCCCACAGGAAUCUGGGGGCGCUCCAGAUGAGGAAAUAAUGGACUCCUGAGAGCCUGGCUUUGCCUCAGAUGUGGGAGUCCUGACACCCAGUUAAUGAAAUAGAUUACUCCGAUUGGCUAGACUCUGCCGUCGCUGGGGCCUCCGAGACAGAUUGGGGAAGGGCAUGUACAUGGAGGUCAUAUGUAUGGAGGUCAGAGGACAAUGGCAGGAGCUGCUUCUUCCCUCCCACCACAUAGGCUUCAUGGAACUCAAGUCUUCAAGCUUCAAAGUAAUCACCUUCACCCACUGAGCCAUGUCAUCCGCCAGGUGUGUGUGUGUGUGUGUGUGUGUGCGUGUGUGUAUGUGUGCGUGUGUGUAUGUGUGCAUGUGCAUGUGUGUGCAUGCGUAUGUGUAUGUGCGCGUGUGUGUAUGUGUGCAUGUGCAUGUGUGUGCAUGCGUAUGUGUGUGUGCGUGUGUGUAUGUAUGUGUGUGCGUGCGUGUGUGUGCGCACGAGUGUGUAUGUGUGUGCGCGUGUGUGUGUGCGCGUGCGUGUGUGCGUGCAUGUGUGUAUGUGUGCAUGUGCGUGUGUGUGCGCGCGUGUGUGCAUGUGUGUGCGUGUGUGCGUGCAUGUGUGUAUGUGUGCAUGUGCGUGUGUGUGCGCGCGUGUGUGCAUGUGUGUGCAUGUGUGUGUGCAUGUGUGUAUGUGUGCAUGUGCGUGUGUGUGCAUGCGUAUGUGUAUGUGUGCGCAUGUGUGUGUGUGCGCGUGUGUGUGUAUGUGUGUGUGCAUGUGUGUGUGUGUGCGUGUGUGUGUAUGUGUGUGCGCGCGUGCGAGUGUGUGUGUGUGUGAAUUUGUUUGUUUUAUUUGUGUGAAUACUUUACCUGCACGUACGUCUAUACACUACGUGCCUAUCUGGCUCCUGCAGAGAUCAGAAGUAAAUAUCAGCUCAUCUGGAACUGGAGUUACUGAUGAGAGGCAGGAUGUGUGUUCUGGGACCCAAACCCAGGUACUCUGCAAGGGCAGGUGUUCCUAACCACCUCUCUAGGUUAUGUUGACUGACUGACUGACUGACUGACUGACUGACUGACUGACACCUGUGUGUGAAUACUGAAGGUCAGAAGACAAUUGAGGGAUUAGUUCUCUUCUCCCACCACGUGGAUUGGAGGGGGACACGCAAUUAAAAUCGCGUUGUCAGGCUUGAUAGCAGGUGCCUUCCCCUCCAGGGACGGUUUGAAUAAGAAUGGCCCCACAGUCUCCUAUAUUAGAGUGCUUAGUCCCUAGAGAGCAGCACUGUUAAAAAGACUAAGAGAUACGGCUUUGUUGGAGGAAACAUGGUACUUGGGGUAGGCUUUGAGCUCAUGCCAAACCCAAUCUCUCUCUCUCUCUCUCUCUCUCUCUCUCUCUCUCUCUCUCUCUCUCUCUCUCUCUCUCUGUAUCAUGAUGUAGCUCUCCAAC